rnacentral:rRNA from 1 species
UACAGAGGUCCCAAGCGUUGUUCGGAUUCAUUGGGCGUAAAGGGUGCGUAGGCGGCGCGGUAAGUCGGGUGUGAAAUCUCGGGGCUUAACUCCGAAACUGCAUUCGAUACUGCCAGCCUUGAGUGGUGGAGAGGGAAGUGGAAUUCCUGGUGUAGAGGUGAAAUUCGUAGAUAUCAGGAGGAACACCAGUGGCGAAGGCGGCUUCCUGGACACCAACUGACGCUGAGACGCGAAAGCGUGGGGAGCAAACAGG